GUCGUGACUGCUUGCGCACGGCUGCAGGCGUUCUGCCGGGCAAGAACCUCCCGGUGCGCCCGGAGCUGCUCCAAGUUGAGAGUGGCGCAUAACAUGGGGCUGCAGUUGAGGCUUGAAGGGCCAAGGAGUGCCAACUUACCCUGGGUUGCAGAAAAGGAAGAAGAAUCAGCAGAGAGCAUUUGUGGCCAGCAAAGCUUAAAAUAUUUCCUAACCGAUCCUUUGCAAAAAAAGUUCACCCACUCCUGUAGUCAGCAGCUCCCCUACUGUGCGCAGUCAGUGUGCCAUCUCAGACUAGCAAAGUUGUCCAGAGAGGAAAGACAGGCCAAAAUAGUUCAGUAUGCUGUCUUACUGGGAGGACAACAGCUUAAGCCACAAAGCCCUGAGUUUGACCCUAGAACUCUGUGGCUACUGGUGACUCAUCUUGAAAAUUAUCAGAUUGAAUCUUCUCUACCGGUUUGAUAACAACUGAUGAGUGGAAAAAGAACGCCAAUCAAAUGUGCAUGCUUAAUAAGCAGCCUCCUUAUUCCCCUCUGCAGAUUUGUGCUUGGAUCAUCUAC
rnacentral:lncRNA from 1 species